CCUACGGGAGGCAGCAGUGGGGGAUAUUGCACAAUGGGGGGAACCCUGAUGCAGCGACGCCGCGUGGGUGAAGGAGAGGUUCGGCGCGUAAAGCCCUAACGGCAGGGAAGAAGAGGACGGUACCUGAACAAGAAGCCCCGGCGAACUACGUGCCAGCAGCCGCGGUAAUACGUAGGGGGCAAGCGUUAUCCGGAUUUACUGGGUGUCAAGGGGGCGCAGACGGCAAUGCAAGCCAGGAGUGAAAGCCCGGGGCCCCACCCCGGGACUGCUCUUGGAACUGCAUGGCUGGAGUACAGGAGGGGCCGGCGGAAUUCCUUGUGUAGCGGUGACAUGCGUAGCUAUUAGGUG
rnacentral:rRNA from 1 species